UCACAUUGCGAGAGUGUAUUUGCUGCGUCAUAAAAUAAUAUGCAUGUAAACAAAGAGAGGAGAACGAGGAGAAGGAGGGAAAACGGGGAGAGAGUGUGAGGGGGAACUGAGCAAGUAGCGUCAGCGAUGUGGGAACGGUCGAGCUCCAGACGGGGCACUAAGGACGAGGCGAGCUUGCUGGGGUCUCGGGGGCGCUCUGUGGCUGAGCAAGUCUCCUACUGCAAUUGUGGCUGCGUUGGCUGGAUAUGUUUACAAUUUUUUUUUAUUUAACAGAUAUGCCUGUAUGUGUAGAAUUAAAAUACCGUGUAUUAUAAUACAGGUUAUUAUUGUUGCUAGCCGGGGCUUAAAAUUGACAAAAAAAAGCUCAAAGUUUAAGCGUGUAUUUUUUUUAAACUGAUGGAAUUACAGUUAAUUCAAAAUAUUUGUAUGUUUAUUUUUGAAGAUUUCUGCUGGCUCGUAAGAUUGGAAACAACGUCCAAAUCUAACUUGUUUACAUCGAGGGUCGUGCAUGGAGAGGAAGGGCGGAGCAGCGAAUUCCUAAUUCCUAGAUCUCUGGGAAAAUCAGCUCCUCCUCUUCACCCUCUUAAACAAGAACAAAAAUGGAAAAACUAAUUGAAAUGAAGACUGAAAAGCACUUUCAUAUGUAAACUGGAUCACCAUGUCUUCCACACGACAUUCGUAACAUCAGCAGACUUGGAAAUAUUAAUUUUUUCCUUCAUCUGGGACAUUAAUAUAAAUAAUAAAUUAGUGAAGGCCAAGACCCAUACUUGGAAUACUCCAUUAACUACAACCCUCCAACCUGAAAACUGGCAGCAGGAAACAGACUCUUCUGCUCAUCAGAUUUGCACUGACUAUCGACCACCCACUUAAAGCAAUCCUAUAUUAAUCUUAUUCUUACUCUUCUCAUGUUCUCAUAAACCUGUCUGUUGAAAACUGGCUGUCACGUAGAAAACAAUCUGUGGUAAAAACAUUUUCUCCAAUACCUUGGAUUUUAAUUCAUUCACCAGCCUCAGAUGUGGCACCUUGUCAGACACCUUUUAGAAAACUAAAUACACUGUAUCUACCAGCAAGAGAAAAUCUGCAGAUGCUGGAAAUCUGAGCAAAACACACAAAAUGCUGGAGGAACUCAGCAGGCCAGGCAGCUUACCAAU